GACGAACGCUGGCGGCGUGCUUAACACAUGCAAGUCGAACGGAAAGGCUCUGCUUGCAGGGUACUCGAGUGGGGAACGGGUGAGUAACACGUGGGUGAUCUGCCCCGCACUUCGGGAUAAGCCUGGGCAACUGGGUCUACUACCGGAUAGGAGCCAUUUAUCGUGUGAUGGUUGGAAAGCUUUUUCGGUGUAGGAUGAGAUCGCGGCCGAUUAGCAUGUUGGUGGGGCAAUGGCAUACCAAGGCGGCGUCGGGUAGCCGGCCUGGGAGGGUGGACGGCCACAUUGGGACUGGGAUACGGCCCAGACUCCUACGGGAGGCAGCAGUGGGGAAUAUUGCACAAUGGGCGCAAGCCUGAUGCAGCGACGCCGCGGGGGGGAUGACGGCCUUCGGGUUGUAAACUCCUUUCGCUAGGGACGAAGCUUUUUGUGACGGUACCUAGAUAAGAAGCACCGGCUAACUACGUG
rnacentral:rRNA from 1 species